rnacentral:misc_RNA from 1 species
GAUGAAGAACGUAGCGAAAUGCGAUAAGUAAUGUGAAUUGCAGAAUUCAGUGAAUCAUCGAAUCUUUGAACGCACAUUGCGCCCUCUGGUAUUCCGGGGGGCAUGCCUGUUCGAGCGUCAUUACAACCCUCAAGCUUUGCUUGGUAUUGGACAUUGCCAGUUUCUGGCAGGUCUUAAAAUCAGUGGCGGUGCCAUUUGGCUUCAAGCGUAGUAAUUCUUCUCGCUUUGGAGAUCCAGGUGGUUACUUGCCAAUAACCCCCAAUUUUUUCAGGUUGACCUCGGAUCAGGUAGGGAUACCCGCUGAACUUAAGCAUAUCAAUAACGGAGGA